GCCCUCUCAGGAUCGCACCUGGAGAGUUUCAGGACUCUACCAGUCUCGGCUACGGGAGGAAGAGUCAAGCAGAAGCAUGCCCAUUCCGUUCCUAGCUUGGGCAGUGGCUAGCGAGUGGAAGACAGUAUGCUACAAGU